ACACACCACACACAGAUAUAUGCUUACCGACAUUCAGAAGACUUGAUUUCGUAUGAAGGCAACAUCGCAUGUGGGUGGAUCUCCGUGUAAAAUGAUGAUUUAUUUUGCUUAGUCAUACUACAGAUAUUACUGGAAGACCCGUUCUGCUUGGUAAUAAUAUACGAUACAAAAUGUCUGCUGUUACCGAAUAGCUGUCAUAGUAACUUUCUACGAUGGACCCCACCAGUUUUAUCAACGGAACAGACAUAAAUGAGGAGAAUCAACAGCUUCAGCGGGUGAGCAAGCUGAUUAUAGCCAGCAUCGUGCUGCUAAACCUUCUCUCUCUCGGCUGCGCGCUCACAUGGCAGGAGGUGAGGCAGCAGCUACGGCACCCCUACGCACUUAUCGCAGGGAUGCUCUGUCAAUUCGUUCUUCUUCCGCUGUGCAUGUUUGCUCUGGCCUGCGCAUUGCGGCUGCAAGAUUCCAGAGCGAUGGGUAUGUUAGUGAUGGCCACCUCACCAGGUGGCGCUCUUUCAAAUGUGUUCACGCACUCGAGCGAUGGAGAUGUCCA